rnacentral:rRNA from 1 species
UACGGGGGGGGCAAGCGUUGUUCGGAAUUACUGGGCGUAAAGGGCUCGUAGGCGGCCAACUAAGUCAGACGUGAAAUCCCUCGGCUUAACCGGGGAACUGCGUCUGAUACUGGAUGGCUUGAAUCCGGGAGAGGGAUGCGGAAUUCCAGGUGUAGCGGUGAAAUGCGUAGAUAUCUGGAGGAACACCGGUGGCGAAGGCGACAUCCUGGACCGGUAUUGACGCUGAGGCGCGAAAGCGUGGGGAGCAAACAGG